rnacentral:rRNA from 1 species
UACGUAGGGAGCGAGCGUUAUCCGGAUUUAUUGGGUGUAAAGGGUGCGUAGAUGGAUAUGCAAGUUGGUUGUGAAAUACCUCGGCUUAACUGAGGAACUGCAACCAAAACUGUAAAUCUUGAGUACUGGAGGGGAAAGCGGAAUUCCUAGUGUAGCGGUGAAAUGCGUAGAUAUUAGGAAGAACACCGGUGGCGAAGGCGGCUUUCUGGACAGAAACUGACAUUGAGGCACGAAAGUGUGGGGAGCAAACAGG